AUGAACGAAUCUUCCUCGAGAAUAAAUUUAUACACAAGUUUGUUUCUCAUGGAGGCACAGAUUUGCUACUGCGAGAUGCACAAUUGUGUCUCGCAGAAAAGGAAAAAAAAGUGGGAAUACAAUAGUGCUUCUGGCUCGAUAUCAAGAGUACUAGAGGGGACUCUCAAGGGGAAGAGGUUCUUUGGAGGCGACUCCAUUGGCCUCGUUUACAUAGCAGCCAGUGGGUUAGCUCGCUGGCUCAGAGCCUUCGAAGAGAUCUCCGGGGUGAAUCUACUCACGGAUGAACAGUUCCCGGCUCUGUGCCGCUGGGCGAAAGAAUAUGCCGCGACGAGCGUGCUAAGGAGUGCCUGCCGAACAUGGAUGAACUGGUCGCCAAGUUCACUGCAGUGA
rnacentral:rRNA from 1 species